CGGAAGCUCUCCUGCGCUAGCCAGUUGGGCGACCCGGUCCGUCACAGUGGCGGCGGCGGUGGCGGAGGAAGGCGGGGCGCAGCGGCGCUCAUGCGCAGAGGGCGCCGGGGCUGCCAUUUUGUUUGGCCGCGGCGCUUGGUGGCCCGGGCGGGUUGCACUCGUUUCCGGGUUGGCGGCGGGAGGCGGACCCGGUGCGGAACGUGCGGCGGCGGCGGCGGAAAAAGCCAUGUCUGGUGCUGAAAAGCUGUGUGUAUAGAAAACCAUUCCUGCUGUCAGGGGAGUGCAGUAGAGACCUCGUGGAAUGGAUACUUUUGCCUCGUUCAUGCUGACCACACAGAAUGACUUAACCUUGUCUUAAGUCUGAUCCCACUUGUAUAACCAGUCUGGUGGUGUGGCAGGGACCCUCGGCGCCCAUUUCAGAAUGCUGUCCGACUGGCCGGCGGCUGAAGUGUAACUUCACUGGUACUCAAAGCUCCCCUGCCUGGAGGAUUCAGUAGCUGCCCUUGGGAUCUUCCACAAAAUUGAGUCUUCAGUGCCACUGUCCUUCAUGGAACGGGUGAGACAGUAGGCCUCUUCUUAAUUGUGUGAAUUCGGUUUAUUUUGAAUAAUACACAUGACUAUUAGUUCUGUGAGUGGAGGGGAGGCAGGAUAGUUUCAUAGUGCUUAGGGUCGGAAGGGACCUAAACAGAACAUAAGGUCUGACACCACCACCCCCCUCCCCCCGCCCUGGGCAGGAACGAGUGCAUGGUCAUAACACCCCAGCCAAACAUCUGUCCAGCCUCUUCUUCAUAGAAUCAUAGAAGUCGGGUUGGAAGGGACCUUGUAGAUCUUCAAGUCCGACCCCCCGCCUGGGCAGGAGAAAAGACUGGACUCAUUUGAGUCUAGCCAGGUAGUCAUCAAGCCUCUUCUUAAAGAUCCUCAGGGUAGGAGCCAGCACCACUUCCCUAGGAAGUUGGUUCCAGCUCCUAGCCGCCCUAACUGUGAAGUAGCUCUUGCGGAUGUCUAAUCUAAACCUACUCUAAUAAUUUGUGUCCGUUGUUCCUUGUCAUGCCAGGGGGAGCUAGGGGAAACAGCGUCUUCCCUAAACCCUUCUGGCCCUCCCCCCGGUGAGUUUAUAGACAGUUACCAGGUCCCUCCUCAGCCUUCCCUUGUGAAGGCCAAACAGGUUUAGGUCCUGCAGGCUUUCAAUGUAGGGUCUGCCCUGUAGUCCCCGGAUGCGAGUGGCCCUCCUUUGGACCCUUUCAAUGUUUCAUAGAUUUCAUAGACAUUAGGGCUGGAAGGGACCUCGGGAGAUCAUCGAGUCC
rnacentral:lncRNA from 1 species